UACGAAGGGGGCGAGCGUUGUUCGGAUUUACUGGGCGUAAAGCGUGCGCAGGCGGUUCGUUGUGUCGGUGGUGAAAGCCCCGGGCUUAACCUGGGAAUGGCCAUGGAAACUGGCGAACUGGAGUGUGGCAGAGGGGGGUGGAAUUCCGCGUGUAGCAGUGAAAUGCGUAGAGAUGCGGAGGAACACCGAUGGCGAAGGCAGCCCCCUGGGCUAGCACUGACGCUCAGGCACGAAAGCGUGGGGAGCAAACAGG
rnacentral:rRNA from 1 species